AUUGAACGCUGGCGGCAUGCUUUACACAUGCAAGUCGAACGCGAAAGUGGGGCAACCCAUGAGUAGAGUGGCGAACGGGUGAGUAAUACAUCGGAACGUGCCCAGUCGUGGGGGACAACCAGUCGAAAGACUGGCUAAUACCGCAUACGCUGGAGACAGGAAAGGGGGCGCCCGCAAGGGGCUCUCGCGAUUGGAGCGGCCGAUGUCCGAUUAGCUAGUUGGCGGGGUAAGAGCCCACCAAGGCGACGAUCGGUAGCUGGUCUGAGAGGAUGAUCAGCCACACUGGGACUGAGACACGGCCCAGACUCCUACGGGAGGCAGCAGUGGGGAAUUUUGGACAAUGGGCGAAAGCCUGGUCCAGCCACGCCGCGUGAGGGAAGAAGGCCUUCGGGUUGUAAACCUCUUUCGGCCGGGACGAAAUCGCACGGAUUAAUACCCUGUGUGGAUGACGGUACCGGAAGAAGAAGCACCGGCUAACUACGUGCCAGCCGCCGCCGUAAAAC
rnacentral:rRNA from 1 species